rnacentral:tRNA from 1 species
GGUGUUGUGGCUCAAUGGUAGAGCACUUGCCUAGCAUGCCUGAGGCACUAUGUUCGAGUCUCAGCACUG